rnacentral:rRNA from 1 species
CAGUAGCCGCGGUAAUACGGAGGGAGCUAGCGUUGUUCGGAAUCACUGGGCGUAAAGCGCACGUAGGCGGCUAUUCAAGUCAGGGGUGAAAGCCCGGGGCUCAACCCCGGAACUGCCUUUGAAACUAGAUAGCUUGAAUCUUGGAGAGGCGAGUGGAAUUCCGAGUGUAGAGGUGAAAUUCGUAGAUAUUCGGAAGAACACCAGUGGCGAAGGCGACUGACUGGACAAGUAUUGACGCUGAGAUGCGAAAGCGUGGGGAGCAAACAGGAUUAGAUACCCGCGUAGUCCCUGUCUCUUAUAC